AAGAAGACCCUGUUGAGCUUGACUCUAGUUUGACAUUGUGAAAAGACAUAGGAGGUGUAGAAUAGGUGGGAGCUUCGGCGCCGGUGAAAUACCUGGAAUGAGUACAAUUUAAAUCCCUUAACGAGGAACAAUUGGAGGGCAAGUCUGGUGCCAGCAGCCGCGGUAAUUCCAGCUCCAAUAGCGUAUAUUAAAGUUGUUGUGGUUAAAAAGCUCGUAGUUGAACCUUGGGCCUGGCUGGCCGGUCCGCCUCACCGCGUGCACUGGUCCGGCCGGGCCUUUCCCUCUGUGGAACCCCAUGCCCUUCACUGGGUGUGGCGGGGGAACAGGACUUUUACUUUGAAAAAAUUAGAGUGCUCCAGGCAGGCCUAUGCUCGAAUACAUUAGCAUGGAAUAAUGAAAUAGGACGUGCGGUUCUAUUUUGUUGGUUUCUAGGACCGCCGUAAUGAUUAAUAGGGACAGUCGGGGGCAUCAGUAUUCAAUUGUCAGAGGUGAAAUUCUUGGAUUUAUUGAAGACUAACUACUGCGAAAGCAUUUGCCAAGGAUGUUUUCAUUAAUCAGGAACGAAAGUUAGGGGAUCGAAGACGAUCAGAUACCGUCGUAGUCUUAACCAUAAACUAUGCCGACUAGGGAUCGGACGAUGUUAUUUUUUGACUCGUUCGGCACCUUACGAGAAAUCAAAGUGCUUGGGCUCCAGGGGGAGUAUGGUCGCAAGGCUGAAACUUAAAGAAAUUGACGGAAGGGCACCACCAGGGGUAAACCUGACCUGUGAAGCCGCAGUCAACUCUGCUCCAGAAAGCCGCCCGAAAGGGUCGGUGGUGUUCCUAGGGGAGAGCUCUCCCCUAAACUAAUGGCUAGUCCUGCCGCCCGCGGCAGGGCGACACCCUCAAACUGACGGGGAACUCCUAAAGCCCUCGCUCCGGACAGGCGUCGCGGUGCUCUAUCUAAGGCAACCCUAGGAUAAUAUCGCGGGUAAGGCCCGGGACGACGUAUAGCAUCACGGCUGACGGCUAUCCAUCGAUAUCGAUAUCGAUACGGACGGCGUAGGCAAUCCGCAGCCAAGCCCCUACGGUGCGGCCUCUACGGGGGUCGCAUACGGGGAAGGUUCAGAGACUUGACGGGGGUGGGUGGCGCGGGCUCUUGGGG
rnacentral:ncRNA from 1 species